GAAUCCUAAGGUGUGCGAGAGAACUCUCGUUAAGGAACUCGGCAAAAUGACCCCGUAACUUCGGGAGAAGGGGUGCUGACCGCAAGGUCAGCCGCAGUGAAUAGGCCCAAGCGACUGUUUAUCAAAAACACAGGUCUCUGCAAAAUCGAAAGAUGACGUAUAGGGGCUGACGCCUGCCCGGUGCUGGAAGGUUAAGAGGAGAGGUUAGCGCAAGCGAAGCUUUGAAUUGAAGCCCCAGUAAACGGCGGCCGUAACAAUAACGGUCCUAAGGUAGCGAAAUUCCUUGUCGGGUAAGUUCCGACCCGCACGAAAGGCGUAACGAUUUGGGCACUGUCUCAACGAGAGACUCGGUGAAAUUAUAGUACCAGUGAAGAUGCUGGUUACCCGCGACAGGACGGAAAGACCCCAUGGAGCUUUACUGCAGUUUGAUAUUGCGUGUUUGUAUCACAUGUACAGGAUAGGUAGGAGCCGAAGAUACCGGGACGCCAGUCUCGGAGGAGGCAACGGUGGGAUACUACCCUUGUGAUAUGACCACUCUAACCCGCUGCUCUUAGCGAGCAGGGAGACAGUGUCAGACGGGCAGUUUGACUGGGGCGGUCGCCUCCAAAAAUGUAACGGAGGCGCCCAAAGGUUCCCUCAGAAUGGUUGGAAAUCAUUCGUAGAGUGUAAAGGCAGAAGGGAGCUUGACUGCGAGACCUACAAGUCGAGCAGGGACGAAAGUCGGGCUUAGUGAUCCGGUGGUUCCGCAUGGAAGGGCCAUCGCUCAACGGAUAAAAGCUACCCUGGGGAUAACAGGCUUAUCUCCCCCAAGAGUUCACAUCGACGGGGAGGUUUGGCACCUCGAUGUCGGCUCAUCGCAUCCUGGGGCUGUAGUCGGUCCCAAGGGUUGGGCUGUUCGCCCAUUAAAGCGGUACGCGAGCUGGGUUCAGAACGUCGUGAGACAGUUCGGUCCCUAUCCGUCGCGGGCGUUGGAAAUUUGAGAGGAGCUGUCCUUAGUACGAGAGGACCGGGAUGGACACACCGCUGGUGUACCAGUUGUUCUGCCAAGAGCAUCGCUGGGUAGCUAUGUGUGGACGGGAUAAACGCUGAAAGCAUCUAAGCGUGAAGCCCCCCUCAAGGUGAGAUUUCCCAUCACUUUAAGUGAGUAAGACCCCUGAGAGAUGAUCAGGUAGAUAGGUUGGGAGUGGAAGUACAGCGAUGUAUGGAGCGGACCAAUACUAAUCGGUCGAGGACUUAACC
rnacentral:rRNA from 1 species